GAUGAACGCUGGCGGCGUGCCUAAUACAUGCAAGUCGAGCGAACAGAUAAGGAGCUUGCUCCUUUGACGUUAGCGGCGGACGGGUGAGUAACACGUGGGUAACCUACCUAUAAGACUGGAAUAACUCCGGGAAACCGGGGCUAAUGCCGGAUAACAUUUAGAACCGCAUGGUUCUAAAGUGAAAGAUGGUUUUGCUAUCACUUAUAGAUGGACCCGCGCCGUAUUAGCUAGCUGGUAAGGUAACGGCUUACCAAGGCAACGAUACGUAGCCGACCUGAGAGGGUGAUCGGCCACACUGGAACUGAGACACGGUCCAGACUCCUACGGGAGGCAGCAGUAGGGAAUCUUCCGCAAUGGGCGAAAGCCUGACGGAGCAACGCCGCGUGAGUGAUGAAGGUCUUCGGAUCGUAAAACUCUGCUAUUAGGGAAGAACAAAUGUGUAAGUAACUGUGCACGUCUUGACGGUACCUAAUCAGAAAGCCACGGCUAACUACGUG
rnacentral:rRNA from 1 species